AGUGAACGCUGGCGGUAGGCCUAACACAUGCAAGUCGAACGGCAGCACAGUAAGAGCUUGCUCUUACGGGUGGCGAGUGGCGGACGGGUGAGGAAUACAUCGGAAUCUACUUUUUCGUGGGUGAUAACGUAGGGAAACUUACGCUAAUACCGCAUACGACCUACGGGUGAAAGCAGGGGAUCUUCGGACCUUGCGCGAUUGAAUGAGCCGAUGUCGGAUUAGCUAGUUGGCGGGGUAAAGGCCCACCAAGGCGACGAUCCGUAGCUGGUCUGAGAGGAUGAUCAGCCAAACUGGAACUGGGAAAGGGUCCAGACUCCUAGGGGAGGCAGCAGUGGGGAAUAUUGGACAAGGGGCGAAAGCCUGAUCCAGCCAUACCGGGUGGGUGAAGAAGGCCUUCGGGUUGUAAAGCCCUUUUGUUGGGAAAGAAAAGCAGCAGGUUAACACCCCGCUGUUCUGACGGUACCCAAAGAAUAAGCACCGGCUAACUUCGU
rnacentral:rRNA from 1 species